rnacentral:rRNA from 1 species
CAAUAGCGUAUAUUUAAGUUGUUGCAGUUAAAAGCUCGUAGUUGGAUUUCGGUUGAGAACGGCCGGUCCGCCGUUUGGUGUGCACUGGCUGGUCUCAACUUCCUGUAGAGGACGCGCUCUGGGUUAACGCUCGGACGCGGAGUCUACGUGGUUACUUUGAAAAAUUAGAGUGUUCAAAGCGGGCUUACGCUUGAAUAUUUCAGCAUGGAAUAACACUAUAGGACUCCUGUCCUAUUUCGUUGGUCUCGGGACGGGAGUAAUGAUUAAGAGGAACAGUUGGGGGGCAUUCGUAUUUCAUUGUCAGAGGUGAAAUUCUUGGAUUUAUGAAAGACGAACUUCUGCGAAAGCAUUUGCCAAGGAUGUUUUCAUUAAUCAAGAACGAAAGUUGGGGGCUCGAAGACGAUCAGAUACCA